GCGAUAAAAUCUGAACCGUAGCACCUACAGCCCACGUAGACACAUAUACUUUCUCAGCAGAAAAGGACGAAUAAAGUGAUACCCGUGUCGUUGAAAUCGGAGCAAAACUUCGUGUUCAAAUACCUCGCGCAAUGCACUUAGGACCCUGUCUAAAGUUUAAGGGCUUUGAGCAGUUAUUUAGAGUGAUCUCACAGCAAAAGGAAAAAACACGUAAGCUUUUAUUUUUCAUCCACUACUCGAUUUUGACCAGCGUUGCUCUCUCCGAAUAUUUUGAUUUUUUUUGGGCCACCCUAGCUGGGUUGCCUACAGGCCCGGCGCAGAGAGGGCAACAGCCACAGACCGACAAAGGUGGAUUGAACUUGUACUUGUUCGUCACAGUAGUGAUAUACUUUGAAAACAAUCUUUGUACAGAAAUUGUCUUAUUAUAUUUCCAUGCGUUUCUGUUGCUCGUGGGCGAAUCCAGUUAGUUAAAAAUAGGAAAGGAGAGGGAGCAUCGAACUCGUCACCAUGUUUAAGGAAAGAAAACUUGCGGAAGAUCUCGAUAGACGCUGGCCGGCUGUUGGCUGAGCAAUGGUAAACUCAAAACUAUUUCAAAGUUAUCGAAAAAACAGAUCGAUUAUGACCAGAAACAAAUUGUUUCAGUAUUGUAUUUGAAAGGGUGCACCAUUUGAUAUACAUAGAGUUCGGUCUGCCCCUUCCCCUUUUCUCAGCCAAACCAACUGCGCCAAUUAUUGAAGCAUCAUCGGUCUGGUACUGACUGAGUAUAAAGAAGACACAGGAGGUACAGUACUUUAAUCAAUGGAUGCAUUAAAGAAAACGUUGAAGUUCCCUGAACUUCAAAAUAAAUGUCGAAGCUCCCCAAAGUUUAAACUACAUCAUAGAGGUUCACUGACGUUUAAAUUCAACCGCCACACUUCAAAACAACCACCAAAAUGUAUUUCAGAUUUUAUUUAAAAACCACAAGCUGCUAUGGUCGCAAAACAUAUAGCAGAGAUAGCAAAAACUUUUGCUGAAACAGCAAAAACCUUUGUUCAGCGAAAACAAAAAUAUGUUAUUUGAUAGAACAUCAAAACGUGGACCCCUGUCUUUUGCUAAUUUAGCAGACGGGCUUUUUUGCGCGGUGGAAGAGUUUAUGCUGGCUGUUCCCUGUGCAGUACAUUUACUCGGACGACCAGAUCGAAGAGAUCAACGACCGCCUGGCCGCACUUGGCCGAAUGCCUCUGCUAAGUGCACGCUCGCGGUGACUUUGACCCCCCAAGUGACGUCGGCCGCUUCGAGGGCAUCGAUGCCCUGUUUGAGGGCGCAACCAAGGAGAAGCUCACGAAGCCCAUCGUCGCUUGCCUCACGAGGAGAACCGUUAAGUCCACCACUGUCUGGAGUGCUGAGGCAUGCCGUAUUAAGUCACUCGCUGGAGACCUCACGUCUGCGUAAAGUCGUUUCAGAACAAAACGUAUCCUAGCCCUCCUUUUCUCCACGGCUUUUUCCAUACAAUGUACAUCCUACAUAUUCAUGAUAAAAACUGAAACAGGUGUCAAGGUACCAAUAAAUUGUAGAAUGAUCGCUGGUUAUAAA